rnacentral:rRNA from 1 species
UACGAAGGGGGCGAGCGUUGUUCGGAAUUACUGGGCGUAAAGGGCGCGUAGGCGGCGACUCUAGUCAGAAUGUGAAAGUCCUGGGCUUAACCUGGGGACUGCAUUUGAUACUGGGUUGCUUGAAUUCGGGAGAGGAUAGCGGAAUUCCCAGUGUAGAGGUGAAAUUCGUAGAUAUUGGGAAGAACACCGGAUGGCGAAGGCGGCUAUCUGGACCGACAUUGACGCUGAGGCGCGAAAGCGUGG